UUGUGGUGGGUGGGUGGGGGUCUCUCCAUGCUGCACUAACCUGGAAACGAAUUUCUUGGGCGAUCAGAAUUACAGCAUUUGUUGGUAGAGGGCACAGCCCCUCGGCCUGUUGCCAGCGUCUUAGCCGGGGUCAGUCUUUUGCCCAGGAGCUCAAGAGGCAGGAAGUCAUCCUGCGGGAGGAGGACGUGAGAGAAGCAGCGGUUGCUGUUGGAGGAGAGCUCCCUCCACCUAGAAUUCCUGUUGGGAGUACUGUAUUUAUAUUUGGGGAACUUCACAUUGUGGCCUGGCUGGAUACCUCUAAGUCCCACGUGCAACCUGAAGCAGAUACUUAGCCAAUUAACACCUGUGGAUUUUUUCAAUCUCAGCCAAAGGGCAGGAUUGGAAGUCCUGAGGCAGAGCAGCCGUGAUGGUUGUUUGAUUCAGGACGUGACUCUUCUCCAGCUAAAAACUGUUCUUUGGUGGGAAGGAUAGAAGUUCCUGAGGACCCCUGCUGUGUAGGCUGGCUGGCAUCGGUGGCAAUGAGGUUCCUAUAGAAAUCUGUAGAUAGUUGUUCACUUUGAAUUAAGCAAGAGGACGAAAACUAUUCAUUUGGAUCCAAGGUCUGCCUGUAUAUUGGCCGUAGGCCUUAUCAUUCCUGAAAGUAAGGAAGGGGAAGAAAAUUGCACUAGGUAGAAGGAGACAAGCUGGUGGAAGAGUAAGGGACCUCGUUUCAUCUGGUCUCUUGAAUUUAAUCGGAUAUCUAUCAAAUCAUUCUGAAUACCUAUGAAUUCAACCUGAGAUGUAAGAGAAUUGCUGGAAUUCUACAAAUAGAAAAGCGACUACUUUUUGCAAGGGCCCUGCAAAAGGCAGAAACACAGAGAUCCUCCUCCUUCCCCUGAGAGGGGCAUCACAGGUGCAGCAUGCAGGAUGGAGUGACUGCUCUCCCUGUGGGGACCCUUCAAAUGGUAUGCCCGUGGUGACCAUCCUCCCUCACACAGGAGGAUCUGCGCUGGUGUGCACCGCAAGAGACUCAGAGUUGGUGCAAACAAAAGUGAAGACUGCUUUUCCCUGAGGGUUUACUGAAAAGAGGGGACCACAAUAGUUCAGCUCCAGGACUGGAGAUAGGGUGCCACCAUUUUUAUUUUCACACUCAAAAGCAGCUUGGAAAGCCUUCAGGGAACAAAAGCCACAUAGAGCAACCCAAAGCAGCUUAUACUGAGCCCAGCCACCUGGCAAAGGGCAGUGCAACUCCACCCAGGAAAAGACACCUGAGAUUCAGGGCAGCAGACCCUUCCCCCAGAAAAUCAGCUGGAACAUCAGGAGAAUACCAAGAUUACCAAGCACACAGAACUGUAAAACUCCAGCACUAGGGGAAAAUACUAUAUAGAAUUCAAGGUUUUUUCUCAUGAUCCUUUUAUCUUUCAGUUUAAAAUUUUUUUGUUUUUUCAUUUUUUCCUUUUCAACUAGUUAUUUUAUCAAUUCCUUGUUUUUAAGUUUUUUUAACUUUCAUUUUUUAUUUACAUUAUAUAUAUAUAUAUUCUUCAUUUAUGGCUUCCUUUCAAUGUAUUCAAUUUUAUUUUGUAUAUAUGUAAGUUUUGCUUUCUUUACAAUUUUGGGAUUUAGUGUCUUCUAACAAACAGACCAAAAUACACCCAGGACCCAGUGGAUCACCCUGUUUUGCCCACCUGGAAGAUUAUAUUCUCUACUUUUCCCCCUUUUUCUUUUUCUUUCUUUUUUGGUUUCUAACUUCUUCGGAUUUGUCUGGUGUAUAUUUCACUUGGGUCGUGGUUGAUAUUUUUGAUUUUGUUUGCUCGUUCAUCCAUUCUUUGGGCAAAAUGACUAGAAAGAGGAAUAUACAACAAAGGAAAAAAAACAGAGGUAAUACUCUGCCACAGAUCUAAUCAAUAUGGAUAUAACUAAAAUGUCAGAGCUGGAAUUCAGGAUAACAAUUAUAAAGUUACUAGCUGGGCUUGAAAAAAGCAUAAAAGACAUUAGAGAAUCUCUUAGUGAAGAAAUAAAAUCGAAUGAGGCCAAAAUUAAAAAUGCUUUAACUGAGACACAGUCCAAAUUGGAUGCUCUAACAGCUAGAGUAAAUGAGGCAAAAGAGUCAGUGACAUAGAAGAUAAGAUAAUGGAAAGGAAGGAAGCUGAGGAAAAGAGAGAAAAAUAACUAAUGGACAUGAGAGAAGGCUUCAAGAAAUCAGUGUUAUCAUAAAGCUAAACAAUAUUAGAAUCAUUGAGGUACCAGAGGAAGAAGAAAGAGAGAGAGGGAAAGAAUGUAUAUUUGAGCAAAUCAUAGCUGAGAACUUCCCUAAUCUGGGGAGGGAAAUAGGCAUUCAAAUCCAGGAAGUAGAGAGAACCCCCCUCAAAAUCAAUAAAAAUAGAUCUAUGCCCUGACAUAUAACAGUGAAACUUGUAAAUUUCAGAGAUAAAGAGAAAAUCCUGAAAGCAGCUUGAGAGAAGAACUCCUUAGCAACAGGGGUAGGAACACUAGACUGUCAGCAGACCUAAUCAGAGACGUGGCAGGCCAGAAAGGGUCGGCAUGAUAUAUUCAGGGUAGUAAAUGAGAAAAACAUGCAGCCAAGAAUACUUUAUCCAGCAAGGCUGUCAUUCAGAAUGGAAGACGAGAUAAAGAGCUUCCAGGACAAACAGAAACUAAAAGAAUUUGUGAUCACUAAACCAGCCCUGUAAAAAAUAUUUAAGGGGAUCCUGUAAGCAAAGAGAGAUCCCAAAAGAAACAUAGAUCAGAAAGAAAUAGAAAAGAUCUACAGAAACAGGGACUUUACAGGUAAUAGAAUGGCAUCAAAUUCAUAUCUUUCAAUAGUUACUCUGAAUGCAAAUGGGAUAAAUGCUCCAAUCAAAAGACACAGGGUAUCAGAUUGGAUAAAAAAAGCAAGACCCAUCCAUAUGCUGUCUACAAGAGACUCAUUUUAGACAUAAAGACACCACCAGAUUGAAAGUGAGGGCAUGGAGAACCAUUUAUCAUGGUAAUGGACAUAAAAGAAAGCUGAGGUAACAAUCCUCAUAUCAGACAAAUUAGAUUUUAAACCAAAGACUGUAGUAAGGGAUGAAGAGGAACACUAUGUCAUACUUAAAGGGUCUAUCCAAAAAGAAAAUCUAACAAUUAUAAAUAUUUAUGUUCCUAAAUUGGGAGCAGCUAAUUAUAUCAACCAAUUAAUAACAAAAUUAAAGAAAUAUGUUGAUAGGGGCGCCUGGGUGGCUCAGUCAUUAAGCGUCUGCCUUUGGCUCAGGUCAAGAUCCCAGCGUCCUGGGAUCGAGCCCCGCAUGGGGCUCCCUGCUCCACGGGAAGCCUGCUUCUCCCUCUCCCACUCCCCCUUCUUGUGUUCCCUCUCUCACUGUGUCUCUGUCAAAUAAAUAAAUAAAAUCUUCAAAAAAAAUUAAAAAAAAAAGAAAUACAUUGAUAAUAAUACAAUAAUACUAGGGGACUUCAACAUCCCACCCACAGCAAUGGAAAGAUCAUCUAAACAGAAGAUCAACAAGGAAACGAGGGCUUUGAAUGACACACUGGAUAAGAUGGACUUCACAGAUAUAUACAGAGCAUUCCAUCCUAAAGCAACAGAAUACACAUUCUUCUCAAGUGCACUUAGAACAUGCUCCAGAAUAGAUCACAUACUGGGUCAGAAAUCAGAUCUCAAGUGGUACUAAAAGAUUGGGAUUAUUCCCGGUAUAUUCUCAGACCACAAUGCUUUGAAACUUGAACUCAAUCACAAGAGGAAAUUUGGAAGGAACGCAAACACUUGGAGGUUAAAGAGCAUCUUACUAAAGAAUGAAUGGGUCA